UUGACCUCGGAUCAGGCAGGAGAUACCCGNUGAACUUAAAAAUAUC
rnacentral:rRNA from 1 species